GAUAAGCUGGCAAGAGGGACACAUAGAUUUUCAGGGAGCUGUGCGUGCCAGACUUGGCUGAUCUCUGAAUCGUUUACUGCUGGAGUGUAUCACCCCAGCGUCCCAUGGAUCACACUCUAGAAAAUGCUCUUGUGGAGGGGGAGGGGCGGGGGCCAGAGCUCCACAGUCUUGAGCUAGUCAGACAAGCCCCACAGGCCUUCAGACUGGGCUUUCCAGGCAGCACCGUGGCGCAGUGGAGCUUUGUGACAUGACCCAGCUGCCUCCCGUUACCCCCUCCCCAAACCCUAAAUGGGGGCUGGGAAGGGGGUAGUGGUUGAACAGUUAGCAGUGCCUUUUCCAUCCUCCCGUUUGCGCCAGGUUUCUGUCUCAGGUGGUCAGAUCCCAGCCAGCCUAGCUUUCAGGACCAAGACUCCUUUCAGAACCGGAGAUGACAGAUCCUGGACCCAGGUAUGGCCAAAGUGACCCCUGGGACGACGGAGAGACAGAGAAAUAAUUCACACAGGCAAAGAAGCUUCUAGAAGAAGCCUGAGGAGAACCCUCCAAGAGGCAUCUACGUCUUCUCACAGCAAAUAGAGAUUCUACUACUUGCAGCCAAAUUCAUCCCAGCUGAUUAGACUGAUACUUUGUCAGACGCUCUCAAGAAGCGCGCAGACAUUUCUAUAUUAGAUCCAAUACCUGACAACAACAUUGUAAGCACCCCAUGUGAAAUGACCCUCCUCAGGAAGAGAACUUGUGCUGCUGUCUCUCAAGGAGAAACCUCAUAUUUGGAAGAGCUGGAGCUGAUGUGAUGUGUCCUGCUCAGGGUUUUAUCACUGGUGAGAUCGAAAAUUUCUUUCAAACCUACUACAAGUCUACAUGAACAUGACAUUACCCAAAAGAAAAGUGAAUAAACUCUGUAAUUUUUCUUCAAAAGGUUAUCUGAAUAACUACGAGAAAACAGAAAGCUGUACUCAACCUCAUUAGUCAUUGGGCUAAAUACAAGUUGAUAUAUAAUCUGAUAUCAUCAUCAUUACUAAAAUAUAAAAACAGAAAAUAGUAUCUGUUUGACAGGGCUGUGAAUCAACAGAAACUCCAAAGCACUGCAGGCAAGAGGUUGAGUUGGUACAACCAUUCUGAAAUUAUUAUGAAGUAACUGGCAACAUCUAUAGACUGGAGUGUGCUUAGAACCUCUGAUUUGGAGACUCCACUCUUCAAUUCUACUCAGAAUGGAUACAAAGAGUGUGUGCACUGUGACACGCAGAAAGCAAGGAUGUCAAAUAAAACAAGUAAUUCUACAAAUGCCAACCAAUGGUGGGAUGACGAUAAAUGAAUUCUAACAUGUUCACAGAGUGGAAUAUUCUACAGGGAUGAAGAUGAAUUGUCAACUAUUUGCACAAAGUGCAUGAAUUCGGCAAACACAGUGUUAAGCAAAAGAAGACAGACAUAGGAGUACAAGCUGUCUGGAUCCCUUUAAGCCAGGCAAACCAGGGUAGAGUUAAUCUGUGUUCUCCUAAUCCAGGACGGCAGCUGUCCUAGAGGGAUAAGUGAAUCGCUGGGGCAGAAGAGCAAGGGUGUUCAGAGUUUUAAUAGUGCUCCAACUUUUUAAAUCUGGUGUGUUUUCAAUUUGUGAUGUGACUUUCCAUAUGUGUUAUAUCUUUUAUUGAAAUUACAUGCUUAUGUUGGGUGGCUUAAAAGUACCUGUAGCUCCAGCUCCAGGGGAUCUGGUACACUCUUAUGGCUGCCAAGGGCAAAGUACUCACACACAUAUAAAUAAAUGUAAACAAACCGUG